GCCAGAGUUUGGGGAAGCUUGGUCUAGAUGAUAGAAAGGGUUCUAAUCGAUCUGUUCAAUGUGUUUAUGAAACACCAAAACAUUUAGGAGCACUUAAAAUUACUCACACAAUAAAAUAUAGCACUAAUUGAGGAUUCUGUUUGAUUUCUGUGAGAUGCCGGAGUAAGUGUUUCUAGGAAAAAUACAGUACAGUCAAAGGUCAGCCUGUGUGAUGUAAGUUACAGACAUAUUGUCAAUUGUUUGAAG